rnacentral:rRNA from 1 species
ACAGAGGGGGCAAGCGUUGUCCGGAAUUACUGGGCGUACAGCGCGCGCAGGCGGACCGCCACGUGCCGUGUGACAAGCCACUGCUCAACAGUGGAGGGCCAGGGUACACGAGCGGUCUGGAGGCAGGGAGAGGGAUGUGGAAUGCCCGGUGGAGCGGUGAAAUGCGUAGAGAUCGGGCGGAACACCAGCGGCGAAGGCGGCAUCCUGGUCCUGUUCUGACGCUGAGGCGCGAGAGCGUGGGGAGCGAACUGGA